UACGUAGGGGGCGAGCGUUGUCCGGAUUUAUUGGGCGUAAAGAGCUCGCAGGCGGUUUGGCAAGUCGGGUGUGAAAACUCCGGGCUCAACUCGGAGACGCCACUCGAUACUGCUAUGACUCGAGUCCGGUAGGGGAGUGCGGAAUUCCUGGUGUAGCGGUGAAAUGCGUAGAUAUCGGGAGGAACACCAGUGGCGAAGGCGGCAUCCUGGCCAUGUCCUGACGCUCAGGGGCGAAAGCGUGGGGAGCAAACCGG
rnacentral:rRNA from 1 species